AGAUUAAACUGAAGAGUUUGAUCCUGGCUCAGAUUGAACGCUGGCGGCAUGCCUUACACAUGCAAGUCGAACGGCAGCACGGACUUCGGUCUGGUGGCGAGUGGCGA
rnacentral:rRNA from 1 species